UGUCAAGGGAUGGGAAUCGAACUCACGACCUUCCGCUUACAGGGCAGAUGCCAUGACCACUAGGCUACCCUGGAC
rnacentral:tRNA from 1 species